UCUACACAUGCAGUCGAACGAUGAAGCCGGAGCUUGCUCUGGUGGAUUAGUGGCGAACGGGUGAGUAACACGUGAGUAACCUGCCCCUGACUCUGGGAUAAGCGCUGGAAACGGCGUCUAAUACCGGAUAUGCGCUGUAACCGCAUGGUUUGCAGCGGGAAAGAUUUAUCGGUUGGGGAUGGACUCGCGGCCUAUCAGCUUGUUGGUGAGGUAAUGGCUCACCAAGGCGUCGACGGGUAGCCGGCCUGAGAGGGUGACCGGCCACACUGGGACUGAGACACGGCCCAGACUCCUACGGGAGGCAGCAGUGGGGAAUAUUGCACAAUGGGCGCAAGCCUGAUGCAGCAACGCCGCGUGAGGGAUGACGGCCUUCGGGUUGUAAACCUCUUUUAGCAGGGAAGAAGCCUUCGGGUGACGGUACCUGCAGAAAAAGCGCCGGCUAACUACGUGCCAGCAGCCGCGGUAAUACGUAGGGCGCAAGCGUUAUCCGGAAUUAUUGGGCGUAAAGAGCUCGUAGGCGGUUUGUCACGUCUGCUGUGAAAACUGGAGGCUCAACCUCCAGCCUGCAGUGGGUACGGGCAGACUAGAGUGCGGUAGGGGAGAUUGGAAUUCCUGGUGUAGCGGUGGAAUGCGCAGAUAUCAGGAGGAACACCGAUGGCGAAAGCAGAUCUCUGGGCCGUUACUGACGCUGAGGAGCGAAAGGGUGGGGAGCAAACAGGCUUAGAUACCCUGGUAGUCCACCCCGUAAACGUUGGGAACUAGUUGUGGGGGCUUUUCUACGGU
rnacentral:rRNA from 1 species